ACUAAAGCACAGAUAAUUGUCUUUGGAGCUGAGAAAGUGAAGCAGUGAUUUCGACCUGGUGCAGAUUUGGUUCCAAGAUAUUGAAUUUGCAGAAAGAGAGGAAUUGUUAACACUGUCACAAUUUUUAGUAACUACUUUCAAGUAAUUGGCAAAUAAUACAAGCAGGGUCAUCAGGAUCUGAAUACCAUUGGCAUUUAACUGUGCAAGGAGAAAGAGUACUGAAAAGGCGGAUUUGUGGAUGAGAAAUUCAAAUUGAACUUCCUGUUCAGUUUUGAUAGUUACUUGAUCCGUGCCGAUCUGAAUAUCAUUGGCCUUUUCAUGUGGAAGGGAAGGUGUGUAUUCUGUCCGUGGGCGAGAAUUUCAAAUAUCAGUGUGACUGGGAAAAAAUU